UAUCUCUGUAGAGUCUGCAUAUCAAUAAGCGGAGGAAAAGAAACUAACUAAGGAUUCCCUCAGUAACGGCGAGUGAAGCGGGAAGGAGCUCAAAUUUGAAAUCUUCAAGGUUCUACCUUGACGAAUUGUAGUUUAAAGAAGUGUUUUCUGUUAGAUGAGUAGCAAAAGUUCCUUGGAAUGGGACAUCAUAGAGGGUGAGAAUCCCGUAUUUGACUAUUACUUCCUAGCUUUGUGAUACACUUUCAAAGAGUCGGACUUGUUUGGGAAUGCAGUCCAAAAUGGGUGGUAAAUUUCAUCUAAAGCUAAAUAUUGGCGAGAGACCGAUAGCGAACAAGUACCGUGAGGGAAAGAUGAAAAGAACUUUGAAAAGAGAGUUAAACAGUACGUGAAAUUGUCAAAAGGGAAGCGUUUGACACCAGUGUUGUUUUCUCGAAAAUCAAUUAAAAAAGGCAGGAUUUAGUGUUGUAUUGACUUUAUCAGCUUUCUGCACUCUUUUCUUGUCUUUUUUAAUGCACUUUUCGUUUAACAAGUCAACAUCAAUUUCUUUUGUUGUAAAAGGGUCAUUGGAAGGUGGCUUUCUUUUCGGAGAAAGUGUUUAUAGCCUUUGGCCUCUGCAAUCGGAGAGAUUGAGGUCUGCAGCGUAGAUCCUUCGGGGUUAGAUACAUUUGUGCUAAGUUAUAGCCUUUCAUAGACAACUUGUUGACUAUGAUCAGUCAUGUAGCUUACUCGCUUAUGCUAUUUUACCUACGCUUAGGAUGUUGAAGAUGUAGCACAUCAU
rnacentral:rRNA from 1 species